rnacentral:rRNA from 1 species
UAGGGAAUAUUGCAAAAUGGGCGAAAGCCCGAUGCAGCAACGCCGCGUGGGCGAUGAAGGCCUUCGGGUCGUAAAGCCCUUUUUGAGGGGAUGAGGAAGGACAGUACCCUCAGAAUAAGCCUCGGCUAACUACGUGCCAGCAGCCGCGGUAAAACGUAGGAGGCGAGCGUUAUCCGGGUUUACUGGGCGUAAAGCGCGUGCAGGCGGAUUGGAGAGUUGGAUGUGAAAGCUCCCGGCUUAACUGGGAGAGGUCGUUCAAUACUUCCAGUCUUGAGUGCAGUAGAGGGAAGUGGAAUUCCGGGUGUAGUGGUGAAAUGCGUAGAUAUCCGGAGGAACACCAGUGGCGAAAGCGGCUUCCUGGACUGUAACUGACGCUCAGACGCGAAAGCUAGGGUAGCAAACG